GCGCUCACGUCGGCAGCACAGAUACGAAAAACCGGAACGAUACAGAGGAGAUGAGCACGGCCCCUGCGCAAGGAUGACACCCAAAUUCGUGGAGCGUUCCAUAUGUUU